CCUACGGGAGGCAGCAGUAAGGAAUAUUGGUCAAUGGAGGCAACUCUGAACCAGCCAUGCCGCGUGCAGGAUGAAGGCCCUAUGGGUCGUAAACUGCUUUUACACAAGAGAAAACCCGAGUACGUGUACUCGGUUGAUAGUAUUGUGAGAAUAAGCAUCGGCUAACUUCGUGCCAGCAGCCGCGGUAAGACGAAGGAUGCAAGCGUUAUCCGGAUUCAUUGGGUUUAAAGGGUGCGUAGGCGGACCUGUAAGUCAGUGGUGAAAUCUCUUUGCUUAACAAAGAAACUGCCAUUGAUACUGCAAGUCUAGAGUAUAGAUGACGUUGGCGGAAUAUGACAUGUAGUGGUGAAAUACUUAGAUAUGUCAUAGAACACCGAUUGCGAAGGCAGCUAACGAAACUAUAACUGACGCUGAGGCACGAAAGUGCGGGGAUCAAACAGGAUUAGAUACCCUGGUAGUCCGCACCGUAAACGAUGAUUACUCGUUGUUGGCAAUAUGACCGUCAGCGACCAAGCGAAAGCGAUAAGAAUCCACCUGGGGAGUACGCCGGCAACGGUGAAACUCAAANAGAGUAGAGNGNGAGAGNGCGAGGACGACGACGAGGGAGGAGG
rnacentral:rRNA from 1 species